UCUCAUGUACUCUGCUGCUUAUUGGCAAUUCCGGCUUGCUCUGGGAGGAACCUAUGACCUUGACCAUCAUGAUCUUGGGCACUAACGCAAACCCUGAGAACCCUGAGCUGGAACAAUGAAGGCAAACCCUGAAGCCAUCCUUUCAGUGUACUCUGAGGCAGUUUAUAAAGAAGCAGGAAAUGCAACAUUUUUUUCUACUUUCCUGGGUUUCAUCAUGUGGUAAAUGUAUGUGAAGUGAGGUGCAGAAACCUAUAAUGUGGACUGGUCUACUCACACCAUGGCUAAUUUAGAAUCGGCACCCAAGCAACCUGGUGCUUAGUCACUCUUGCACACUACUAUAACUAUGAGAAAUACAAGAAAUGAGAAGAAGCCGAUCUGACAUGCAAAGUGAAGUCAAAGCUGUGAUAGUUGAACCUGUUUAAGAGAGACAUAAUAGAUCACUGCUGUAAGUCUAUAAGUGGCAAGUUGAAAAUAAAGUAUUCAGAACGGGGACAAAGAAGUACUCAGAAAUUUAAAAAAGAAGUUGGUAAAGAAUACAUGCGAAGGACGAUGUUAAACAGCAUUGAGAAAGGAAACGAAGGGAGAUCAUGGUGAGAGAAUAAAGAAGGAUUCAGCACAAGGAGGAGAAACUUAAAAAGAAGAAAUGAUAUAGGAAGAUCUUGAAAACAAAGACCCUUUUUAAAGCGGAAAUCUGUAAUGUGGGAAAAAAAUGAAAGAGACAAAAGAAUCUGAAGAAUUGAAAACUCUUAGGAUAGAGCCAAGAUGUGACUUCAACAGUCCGGUGUGGGAAAUUGCCCCUAAAGGAAAUGGAGACUUUCAAAGACGGGUGUCUGACUGGGGGUGGGGGUGGGGGUGGGGAGAGCUUGGCUUUGCCUCAGAGCAUGGCAGUCAGGAGAAAUGCUUUGUGAAGAAGUCCUCAAGAAGGGCCAGGACUCGUUCUAGUUAGUAAUACAAUUAUAAUAGGGUAGGCGAUGGCGUUCCUUGAGCAUCUGCUCUGUACCGGGCACUUUACAUAACUUACUUAGUUUAGUUCUCACAAACAGAAACUAUAAUCCCUAUUUUACAAUUAGUGACUGAGACUAACUCUCUCAAGGAUAUGAUAUCAAGCAGAACAACUG